UCUCAACUCAGUGAAAAUUUUUGAAGGCAAGACUGGCCCUAGUAAAAAUUGUGAAGCUGGAAAAGUUUUUCUCUCCUUCCUACCCUCUCUGUGUUGGAGCUCUUGACUCUUUUAAAUUGUUCUUUCCAGUUUAACCUUCUGUCACUACUUAUUCUCAGAUCCUUCAUUCAUACCCCUCCUACAGGCAUUUGAAUUUUCAGAAAUCAAAGCUUAAACUCAAAGGGGAGGAUUUGACAAUGGAAUUUCAGGUUGUACUCAGCAAGGAUGGAAGGAAUGGAAAGGAUCUGGGGUACUAUGCAUAUAAUCCUGUUAAACUCACAUGACGUAGUGGAGCUGACUAGGAUCAUGAGGUGAUUUCCUCUCUAACCAAAGAUGAUGAAGAUGAGUUAAAAUAAAUUUCUACAUUUGAAUAUCCA
rnacentral:lncRNA from 1 species